ACUAACCCCAUGGCAGUUUCCCGAAAUGCUCCUUUUCUUCAUGUUUCAAGAGCAUCGCAUAUGUGACAUAUGUACACUCUGGACUUCACCUAGGAAGCGAUCUGAAAGGAUGCCUGAAAUUGUGCUUCUCUUUUGAACUCACAAAGCACAGACUGAAAUUUAGGGUUGGAUUCACAAACAUAUUCACCUGCCUGGGUUCAGAGAGGAGUGAUCAGUAAGAGCUGCAAAAGUGCCAAAGAGAGUUAGGCGCGUCUACGUUAGCAGUUAGGUUGGCUUGGCUAAGACUGUGCUUUUGAAGUGACUCUCCUGAUUGCCUACCUUCCUGUGCCUGGGUGGCCCAAGAGUGCGCAAAACAAACCUUUCUGAUGGGCCUAAGCGAGAAGAUGAGCUGUUGAUGACCUUUCUGAUGAGCUGCACACAUGAAAUACCAGUGGGCCCUCAGUUCGCCAGACCAGACUGGAGGUCUUAUCAGCAGCAAAGAGAAGUUAAUGGAAACCUUUGGAGACUUACUGGCCACUGGGGAGAAAUCAGUUCCAUUAUACAUUGCAGAGUGAAAUCCAUUUAAUCUGUUUUAACUCCUGGCUGCUCAGCAACUUGGAUGGGUUGAUAAUUUCAAUCUACAUACACAGUACAGAGUGCUGAGCAUUUCCAGCUCCUGGUGUCACACUGGGAUCCACCUGUGUCGAGCAGCUCACCACAGUGAAGCUUUCUUUGAGCCAUGGAGGCAAUGGGAGCCAGGAAGGAAAGGGCCGUGUGUCCUCAGCACCUCUUUGCACGACUCCAGAGGAUCAGAGGAUGGACUUCGACUGGUGGCAGGGGAAAGAUUGAAAAGGUUCUUUGGUGAACUGUUCUUUAUCCAGCCAGGUGCUUUAAUCACGCUUGCUGAUGAAUUCAUGAAUGAAGGGUUUGAGAAAGCCAGUGAUCUCCAGCACCAGGAAGCAAAGAAGGCCCUGUGCUGACCUAAAAUUGCGUUGCAUAUAAUCACAGAGCUGCAGGACCUGGCAAGUCUGGCUGUCUUUUAAGAGAGCUCAGCAAGAACGCAAGAGAGGCAGGUGUCCUUGGGGCUUUGGGAGGGCUGCCUGAAGCAACAGCGAGGCUUGUUCCAAGUACACAGCGAAGUAAUGAUGAAGUUCAAAGAUAGCUUUGAAAUAAAGGUGCAUCCUGACUCUGCUUUUCUGCAAAGAGCAAUUAGGGAAACCAUCAUUAGGAACUCCUGAAAACAGAAAUUCAAAACCAGGCUAUGGAGCAAGAAGACUGAAUUGUAGAGUGGGGAGAACCAGUUAUCUUCCUGUGUCUCCUCUACAGUAAUGGCUGAUAUGCAGACUCCUUGACUUGUACACAGCAGCAAGCAGGAAAGCAGCAGAGGGUUAUAUUACUGGUUCAGUGGCUGGAAGGGUCUCCUCUGGCUGUUGGGGUGUGUGUACUUUAUACACAUAAGACUGUAAGCAAAAUGGUUUUCCUAAUGAUUCCUCAAGUAGCAUUAUUCAGUUGUAAGAAAAGGAGGUAUUUGCCUUACAGUAUACGGAGAAAUGAUCUACCAUAUCUCUGCAUAAUGAUAAUGAUAUUAGAAACUAUUUUAAAACAGGGCAGUCUUAGAUUUGGGAGGAUUGGGAUAGGACAUGAAGGAUGACAGAACCCCACUGUACUUUGUCUCUUUUUUAGUGGAAGUAGAUUUGAGUUAAAACCCCAUUGAAUCAGGCAGGAUAAGAGGAAUUUUGGAUCUGAACCAGGUUUCCAGAUUUAGAAAAAUGCCAUGUCUCUAGCAGGUCAUAAGCAAUUUUAUUCCUUUCCUCCUCCUUUGUGAUUUGUCUUUCCAUACUUCUGGUGAGUUCUAAUGGUCAGAGCAGGUAAGGGGCAGCUUUGAUGAUGUUUUUGUCUUUUCAUGCACCUUGGACAUGGGAGAGUAAUUAUAGUUGUCUCCAAUCUCUGUAAACACAUAAAUGUCACCCUCAAGCACAGGAUACACAGGAGAGAAAAAGCUUUAUUUACCCUUUAGCUCACUGCAAAUCUGCAUAAUGCUGGGAGAAAUCCUCGGCCUAAUUCUCCUCUCAGGGCAUCAGUAGAAACCAGACAAAUUUCAUUUGGAAGGCAAUUCUUCCAGAAGAUGUGGGAAGUAACCUGAAUACUGCGUGUAACAGGUCUGCAAAGCUAACAGUCCCUGCUUGCCUCUUUUCCCUGGAUCUUGCUCCUAGACUAUGCAAAGGUGAUAAAACUGGCACUUCAGGAUAAGGCUCACCUCAUCUCGAAAGGAGAGCUUUAAAAAUGAAGAGUAGGCCAACUUACAAGUUGUGCAUAGAUAAACAGAUAGUAACGUGAAGUUAGUUUUUAAUAUUCAGCUUCCAAUUGUUCUGGAGAGGGAGAUAACAAGGCUAUUCAAAAAUUCUGUCUGAACACAGCAUAAAUGACUGAAAGUUGCUGCCAAACCAUCCAACUGCCCUUCACAACACAUCAAACUCCCAGAAUGGUAUAACUUCCUCUUGGCAAGGACAUUUGAUAGUCCACAGACUUCAGUGUCAGAGCUGGAAAAAAAGCAAAACGAGCAAGUAAUAAAGCAAA